rnacentral:rRNA from 24 species
AAAACUUUCAACAACGGAUCUCUUGGUUCUGGCAUCGAUGAAGAACGCAGCGAAAUGCGAUAAGUAAUGUGAAUUGCAGAAUUCAGUGAAUCAUCGAAUCUUUGAACGCACAUUGCGCCCGGCAGUAAUCUGCCGGGCAUGCCUGUCCGAGCGUCA